GGAUAAUGCAGACUCGGUGACGUACAUGUUAGGGUUCAAACAGAAGAAGAAUCCAAACUCAGGUUUUCCAACUGUCCACAAACCACUGAAUGGUUAGAUUAGGUGCCCAGCAUGAUAUCUAAUCCCAUUGUGGAUGUAGUCCUUUAAGGUAAUUCUUUGGUCUGCUAAAACAGCACCAGCUGUGAUCUAUACUAGUCUCAGCAUUUUAAUGACUUUUGGCGAAACCUUCAUAGCUAAUAGUUAAAUUGCCAAAUGCUCCAUAAAACAAAUAUGCAAACAAUUUGCUAGUUAAUCAUCUAUCAUAAAUGGAUGUACGCAGCUGCUGAGAUAUAUAAUUGCUGUUUCAUCAGGGUUGAUUCGGUCUGAGAGCCAGGAACAGGUUCUAGAAGACUCUUCAUUACUCUGGGUACUACUUUCCUGCCUUUGGGAAAAUAUCUAAGUGUUUUCCAUUGUAAAUUGUGCAAUUAGGACUGACUUGGUAUGGUCAUCCAGAUUAGGAAAGAAACAAGACCACAGUGGUGAAGCAAACAAUCACACAGCCCAAUUACAAGUUUCUGU
rnacentral:lncRNA from 1 species